UUGCGCCCCAAGCCUUUAGGCCGAGGGCACGUCUGCUUGGGUGUCACUCAUCAUUGCCCCACCCCACCCCUGCCUCGGAGGCCUGGUGGUGCGGGCUGAUAAUGGCCUCCCGUGCGCUUCCAGCUCGCGGUUGGCCCAAAUUCGAGUCCUCGGCGACCAAAGCCGCGACGAUCGGUGGUGCAAACAAACCUCUCGAGCACACGUCGCGUGCCAGGCUCUCCAUUACGGGACUGAAGGACCUUUUUGCUCCGUGCAAGCGGUGCUCACAUCGCGACCCCAGGUCAGGCGGGACUACCCGCUGAGUUUAAGCAUAUCAAUAAGCGGAGGAAAAGAAACUUACCAGGAUUCCCC
rnacentral:rRNA from 1 species